rnacentral:tRNA from 1 species
GGUAGAGUGGCCGAAGAUAGGCGUGGGGCUGUAAACCCCACUAUGGAGCAGGCUCCCUCUAUCA